UACGUAGGGUGCAAGCGUUGUCCGGAAUUAUUGGGCGUAAAGAGCUCGUAGGCGGUUUGUCGCGUCUGCUGUGAAAACCUAAGGCUCAACCUUGGGCUUGCAGUGGGUACGGGCAGACUAGAGUGCGGUAGGGGUGACUGGAAUUCCUGGUGUAGCGGUGGAAUGCGCAGAUAUCAGGAGGAACACCGAUGGCGAAGGCAGGUCACUGGGCCGCAAACUGA
rnacentral:rRNA from 1 species